UAGAACGCUAGCGGCAGGCUUAACACAUGCAAGUCGAGGGGCGAUCACGGGUAGCAAUACCUGGUGGCGACCGGCGCAAGGGUGCGUAACGCGUGAGCAACAUGCCCUAUACAGGGGGAUAAUCCAGGGAAACUUGGUCUAAUAUCCCAUAGCAUUUAGAGGUGGCAUCACCAUUAAAUUAAAGCUUCGGUGGUAUAGGAUUGGCUCGCGUGACAUUAGCUAGAUGGUGGGGUAACGGCUCACCAUGGCUAUGAUGUCUAGGGGUUCUGAGAGGAAGACCCCCCCACACUGGGACUGAGACACGGCCCAGACUCCUACGGGAGGCAGCAGUGAGGAAUAUUGGACAAUGGAUGGAAAUCUGAUCCAGCCAUGCCGCGUGCAGGAAGACGGCCCUAUGGGUUGUAAACUGCUUUUAUAUGGGAGCAAUAAGGUCUACGAGUAGACCGAUGAGAGUACCAUAUGAAUAAGCAUCGGCUAACUCCGUG
rnacentral:rRNA from 1 species